AAUAAAAAUCAAUAUUAGAAAUAUCCUCAGGUGAGGAUUAACGACGACGACAACAAAGGAACCGUUCUGCCCCCUGAUACAGCGUCACACUGCUGCUCUACUCCCUAGCAAACAGGACAAGAUUCAACGUGUCCCACAUGGGAACCGUAAGCAGCUGUGUAGGACGUGGUCAGGAACUUACAACCCAGGGCUGCCCUUUUCCAUUCAGCUCCAAGAGCAGAGCUGAAGGGCCAGGGGCCUGACCACACAUACCUGGUGCCAUGUGUCCUCCCUCCUCACUGUCCGAGGGUCUGGGGUGUCAAAUUCACAGGAGGUGGCCAGGGAAUCCCCGAUACAGCCAGACCACUCUGCACCCUUUUCAGCAAAUACAGUUGAGUUAGAACAGCAGACGACAUAACUGAUCUACCAGGACAGGAAUUGGAGAGAUUUUCACUAGCUAUCUUCAGUAUCUAUCUACCGGCUGUGGUUUCCAGAGCUCCUGGCCACCAAAUCGUGGACCCGGUUGGGUCCUUCCUUCUGCCUCAGCCCUGCCCCGGCCUUGGUCGCUGCCGGAGAACACAGCAGACAGACGUGCAGGUCCCUCUGGUGUCUACCCAGCUGGAGGGACCUCGCCACUAAGCGUGAGGAGCUUCGCCGGGGCCCGGUGUGUGUGCUAGAUCACGGGGGAGCAACCAGCCCCAGAACCUCACGUCACAAAGGAGGGGGACGUGACUUAAACCUCAGGAUCUGCCUAACCCGUGUGUCUCCGCGCCCACACCAGGGCCUCCCUUGGCUGUCUCCCGAGGACGGGAAGAGUUUCCUAUUCCCCUAGGAGAGCGACCAGCCUCGCCAGCUCGCUCCAUUCCUUGUAGCAUGAGGUGUGAUAACGUUCAGCCCGUAGUCAUCACAAGUCAUUGCAGGGGAAACUGGGAAGUUUCGCGCUGCCCUUACUAUAAAAAGGAAGGAAAAGGCCAUAAAUAACAAGUCAAUAAAGUAAAAUAAAAAAUUCUAUUUCCUCUCAGAUGAGUAGAAGAAAGAGCUGCUGGAUUUUCUAAUUGUGGAAAGUGUGGUCCAUGAUGCAUUUCUUGGGUCCCCCGAAGACAUGAGAUCACUAUUUAAAAAGCUCAAGGCCACUAUUAAUGACACAGACACGUCACUGCCAGCCCUGGCUGCUGGGAACCAGGCAUGCACACGGCUCUCGCCGAGGGACAUCGCAUUUCUCUCUCUGAUGAACCGAGGGUGGUUUGGCCUUGGGGUAAGCUAUCUUCCCAGACAGCCGGCACUCCGCACAGGAGGAAAGCAACCUACAGACAUGUCUGGAUUCUGAGGCCUCACCAGCCAUACGCCAGAAACAUCAACUACUUUUCUCUCUCGAGUUCAGGAAUAUUUUUCUUUGCCAAAAUCAAGAUUUGGGGGCAGCUGGGAAGGCUUAUUUCCCCCGGCCUGGCAGGAAGCAGCUGGCCACUUUGCAGCUUUGGACUUGGAGAGGUUGAAAGACAUUCUCCAGACCCAGCUCCAGCCUCUGCACAGACAGGUGCCCAGUCCUCAGGACGUGCCCAACAGGCCUGCAGGCUCGAAACCAUCCCAGCCACACCGAGGCCUGUGUGCCCAGCGCCACCCCGAAUGAACGGGCUUAUGUUUAGAGGGGACAUGUCAGUUGCAAACGACUGUUACUGUACCAAAUAUGCCCUUUCUUCCCCUCAGCCAUUCAGUGGUAGUUAACUCCUCCCCACAGCUAACUACCUUUGAGUUCAAGGCUGCAGGUUUUAUCAUCAGAGACCUUCAAGUGCCCUGGGCAAAGCCCACCAAAGUCGUACACGUCAGCCUCCCACCGGAGAAACAACUCUCUCUCUUCCUGUAACAGGCCUCACAUGCCCCUGCUCUCAUAACCUCAGCGUCCUCAAUUUUCUACCCCUUUGCCAGAUAUGACCGCCCACCCCCAUCCCACCUCCCCCUUAAGACACCAAGGGCACCUCUAAAGCACCUGUGACCACCGAGAGGGGCAGCUGCCCUGGGCGCCAGAGAGCCCGUCCCAGCUCCAGCAGGUCUGGAUGAGCUCCCGACGCUCUGAGUUUCUGCAUUUAAUGAAUGGAGAUGUUAGCAUCUCUCUUUCUGGGCUGUGGUGUGGCUCAGGGACAGGAUGAAAUACUCUAAACUGAAAACUUCCAUGGCAGUUGUUACUUGGCAUCAAGGCAUUUCCAAGAAUGAGAUGGUCACUCCCUUAAAAAGCGGCUAACUCUCCCUGGGCUGCCCUGUGAUUAAAAGAAUCUUACUCUGUGCGCUCACACUGGACCCUUCCUGGCUCCUAUGUCCUGACCUUGGGCCACCAUCCAGAGCUACUGAGAGAAGUCUGCGCCCUGCUACAGAGCAGGUCUCCCACAGCCAAAGACACCAGCAGACGAGCCUCUAGUUCUCCUGACACCCCCUCGACUGCCAGGGCUCCACCCCUCGCCGCUCGGCUGCCCUCUGCCUGCACCGCACACCCCGAGGGCCCAGAGCUCCAUACCCGGGAGGGCUGGGCUAACACUGCCCACAAUCUGCACACGCUUCUCAUGGUGUGGUUUGCGAUUCUGCUGACGUUUAAGCGGCUCUGUUGGCACCUAAUGAAACAGCGACCCCUGAAAUCUCCAUGCCUGGGAUCCCACAGGCGGGUGCCCUCCAAGGCCCCCGGCGGUUCUGUAACCUAUCGCAGGCUUCAUACUGGGGUCUCACAGCCGGGUUUGCACCAGCGUUCCCAGCGGCUGAGAUCAUUUAACAUCAGUUCACCCAUUCAAACAAUGGAGAAGCAUUUCUCCGACAUCAUCACUCGCAUCAGAUGCCGAAAAGCAAAACAAGAGUAAGCACAGCGACGGGGCUGCCGCCUCCUGUAAAGCGGCACUGUCCGGUGCGCAGGGGUAGCCACAGGUGGCUACUAGGACCUGAGUGUGCCUGAGCCGCAGAGAUGUGCCGCAUCUGUCAACACACACUGAUCUCAAAGACUGACUACGGAAAAAGUUCAGGCACCAAAGAUGUUAAUGAUGUGGCUUACGUUGUAUUUGUAUGGGACGGCAGCCUGCUCUAGAAAUCCUUCUUUCAGACAUCGUCGGUCUCUUUCAAUGUGGUUCAUCUGCUCUGAACUGUUUCAUUAUUUCCCAGUUCACAGAUCAGUCUUAUCCAUAAGUAUUUGCAUUGGGAGCUAUGAGAAAUGUUGCUCUUAAGCCUGUCAAUAAGGAGACGAGCAGGAUAUUCUAGAGCUGUCCGUCAUGGCUUUUUUGAAACCGCCCUCCCCGAAGCCUGUACCUGCUGCAGCUGUGGGCCAGGAAAGAC